GGGCGACUGAACAGGGAAGAGCCCAGCGCAUAACCUCGUGUCGUUGACCCGGCACGAGGGGUGUUGCGUUUCGGAGAGGCCAUCACGCCGUGCCAUACCGUCUAAGUUAAGCUUGAAAGCGACCACUACCCAUUGAGGGUGAGAGGCCCGUGAGGCGGCGCCCGCAAGGGUUGAAGAUGGCACAUUCGGGAAGGGCCGCAAUAUUAUCUCCGUAGAGUCGGGUUGCUUGAUAGUGCAGCCCAAAGCAGGUGGUAAACUCCAUCUAAGGCUAAAUAUGACCACGAGACCGAUAGCGAACAAGUACCGUGAGGGAAAGUUGAAAAGAACUUUGAAGAGAGAGUUCAAGAGUACGUGAAACCGUUAAGAGCCAAACGGAUGGAACCGCGAAGGUCGAACUGAGGGGAUUCAGCUCGUCGGCCGUCCAGCUGGGUGCGAGUCUACGUUAACUCGGAGCGACUUGAGCAACAACCUCGGGCGCGCUCGCACUCACGCUGGCGUCGGCGGGCGCAUUUCGCCUCGUAGUAGGGCGCCGCGACCCGUUGAUAAUGGGGAUGCUUAUGGCCCCGGUGGAUUGGUACCCUACCUUCGUCGACUGCCCAAUGCGGCAGCUUCGGCGCUAGGUAGGCGAAAGCACCGAUGGAGAUCCUGGCUGCCCCGCAACGGUCGUAGAGACGAGGAGCUGCUGCUGCUGCUGCUCUCGCGGCGUGCAAAAAGAUCGGUGAUCCAUCCGACCCGUCUUGAAACACGGACCAAGGAGUCUAACAUGUGUGCGAGUCAGUGGGACCCACAAAAAAGCCCAAGGGCGUAAUGAGAGUGAAGGGAUAAACAAAAUGAAACCGGCGCGCGCGUCUUUUUCCAUGGUGCGGGCGUCGGAAGUACAUACACGAGGGGCGAUCCAUCGCGUUGUUCUUCCUCUUCCCUCCUCCACCGGCAAUGCCAGGUGAGCUAUUGUCCCUGGCCUCUGCUGGGUGGGGGCUGCAGAAGGAGAGGAGGAGGAGCGCGUUGGCGCAGGCCCGGGACUUGCCAAGACGCCGCGAGGAAGGACGACCACACCGUUGGCGUCGAAGCGUGCAGUCGGCAAGUACCACGAGCAUUCAUGUUGGUACCCGAAAGAUGGUGAACUAUGCCUGGCCAGGAUGAAGCCAGAGGAAACUCUGUUGGAGGUCCGUAGCGAUUCUGACGUGCAAAUCGAUCGUCUGAGCUGGGUAUAGGGGCGAAAGACUAAUCGAAUCAUCUAGUAGCUGGUUCCCUCUGAAGUUUCCCUCAGGAUAGCUGGGACUCGAAGGAUGAAUUUCAUCCGGUAAAGCGAAUGAUUAGAGGUGUUGGGGACGAAACGUCCUCAACCUAUUCUCAAACUUUAAAUGGGUGAGAUGCCGAGCUUUCUUGAAUACUGCUGGAUGAUGGUGAUGAAGCUCCGGCGAUUAAUCUGAGUGUCUAGUGGGCCAUUUUUGGUAAGCAGAACUGGCGCUGUGGGAUGAACCAAACGUCGAGAUAAGGGGCCCAGACGAGUGCUCAUUCAGACCCCAUCGAAAGGUGUUGGUUGCUAUAGACAGCAGGACGGUGGCCAUGGAAGUCGGAAUCCGCUAAGGAGUGUGUAACAACUCACCUGCCGAAGCAACUAGCCCUUAAAAUGGUAUGGCGCUGAAGCAUUCUCCCGAUACUCGACCGCCGGGUGGGCUGUCGGCACCGACCUCGUCCCAGAGGCGAUGAUGCCUCGGAGCCCCGGUGAGUAAGAGGGUCGCAGUGGUGAGCGCUGAAGGGAUCCGGCGCGAGCCGGCCUGGAGCCGCCACUGCUGCAGAUCUUGGUGGUAGUAGCAAAUACUCGAGAGAGACUCCCUCGAAGACCGAUGUGGAGAAGGGUUCCAUGUGAACAUCAGUUGGACAUGGGUUAGUCGCUCCUAAGCCCAAGGCUAAGGCCUGAUCCCAUGCUAGCGGCAACGUUCGGCCAACCGAAGAAGAAGAAGAAGAAGCUUCUCCUGCACGAGGCGAAUAAGCAGAAGAUGACGACGGAGAAGUAGAGAAUGCUGCCGCCACUGUUUAUGAGGCUAACUAGGGAGGAUGCAGCACCGUGCGAGGCGGCGGUUGGUUUCCUCUACCACCGUCGGUUCCGUCCGUCGAGUGCAUCUCCAUCAGCUUCUCAUGCUGCACUGCGUCGUUCGUCUUCUUUUCUCUCGUGUGCUUCUCGUUGCCCGGGAUUAGCGGCGAAAGGGAAUACGGUACUUAUUCCGUAACCUGGACUCGGAUUAAAUAAAAGGCAGGCAGGCAGUCAGUCAGUCUCGUCGGUACGCCCCCAGCACGCAAGCAAGUGAGCUCCCGAAAGGGAGUUUGGCUACGGCUGCUGCUGGUGUUGCUGCUGACGAAGGAAGCUGUUGUUGUUGUUGCCCUGUGUUGAGGACCCCGGUGACGGGAACCAGCUCGCGACCAUCGGCGGUGGUCCGGGAAAGAGUUUUCUUUUCUGUUUAAGGCGCCGUGGCCCUAGAAACCAUCCGCAGGGAGAAAGGGGAUUGGUAACACGGUCAGCCGUAGAGCGCCGCGGUUCUUGCGGCGUCCCGCGUGCCACCGCCGGUCCGUGAAACCGCGAGGGAGGUAACUCUGGCUGGAUUCGUUUGUCGGGUCUCCGUGCCCGUCAAAGAGAACAAGAGCCUAAUUUCGAGCCAGUGCGUACCCAUAUCCGCAGCAGGUCUCCGAGGUAAGCAGCU
rnacentral:rRNA from 1 species